rnacentral:rRNA from 1 species
GAUGAACGCUGGCGGCGUGCCUAAUACAUGCAAGUCGAGCGAACGGACGAGAAGCUUGCUUCUCUGAUGUUAGCGGCGGACGGGUGAGUAACACGUGGAUAACCUACCUCUAAGACUGGGAUAACUUCGGGAAACCGGAGCUAAUACCGGAUGAUAUUUUGAACCGCAUGGUUCAAAAGUGAAAGACGGUCUUGCUGUCACUUAUAGAUGGAUCCGCGCUGCAUUAGCUAGUUGGUAAGGUAACGGCUUACCAAGGCAACGAUGCAUAGCCGACCUGAGAGGGUGAUCGGCCACACCGGAACUGAGACACGGUCCAGACUCCUACGGGAGGCAGCAGUAGGGAAUCUUCCGCAAUGGGCGAAAGCCUGACGGAGCAACGCCGCGUGAGUGAUGAAGGUCUUCGGAUCGUAAAACUCUGUUAUUAGGGAAGAACAUAUGUGUAAGUAACUGUGCACAUCUUGACGGUACCUAAUCAGAAAGCCACGGCUAACUACGUG